rnacentral:lncRNA from 1 species
GAGACAUGAAUCAGACAAAAACCAGAUUUAACAGAACUUAGAACAUCAAAUAACAGAAACUUACCCAAAGGUGUAGAAGUAGCAUGAGCAUUCACAUAGUCCACUUGGUUAGGAUGCAGACCAGCCUGAAACAGCACACUAAGUAAGUACAUAAUAAACUUAAUCUUCUGAUUAUGUAUUAGAGAAAAGAUUAACAAUAUUUAGCAGGCAACUUGUCAGGGUACCAACAGGUCAAGUGACAAUGGAACCAAUGAACCAACUACUAGAAUCCAGAAUUGCACAUUUAAUUGUGAAAUAAACUAUCAUGCAGCUCUUUAUGUCACGAAUCACUAAAGUUCAGUGAUAAUUUUUUUCCACAUUUUCAAGUGACAUAUUCUCAAGCACAAUUGUUUUAUAUGCAGCCACAUAUAACUUGCACGGCUGCCUCACACGCUGCCAAGACCAAAAGAUAACAAUAUCAACAUAAGAAGCUGAGAAUCC